CCUACGGGCGGCAGCAGUGGGGAAUAUUGGACAAUGGGCGAAAGCCUGAUCCAGCCAGGCCGCGUGUGUGAAGAAGGCCUUCGGGUUGUAAAGCACUUUCAGUGGGGAAGAAAGCCUUGGGGCUAAUACCCUCGAGGAAGGACAUCACCCACAGAAGAAGCACCGGCUAACUCCGUGCCAGCAGCCGCGGUAAUACGGAGGGUGCGAGCGUUAAUCGGAAUUACUGGGCGUAAAGCGCGCGUAGGCGGUCUGAUAAGCCGGUUGUGAAAGCCCCGGGCUCAACCUGGGAACGGCAUCCGGAACUGUCAGGCUAGAGUGCAGGAGAGGAAGGUAGAAUUCCCGGUGUAGCGGUGAAAUGCGUAGAGAUCGGGAGGAAUACCAGUGGCGAAGGCGGCCUUCUGGACUGACACUGACGCUGAGGUGCGAAAGCGUGGGUAGCAAACAGGAUUAGAUACCCGGGUAGUC
rnacentral:rRNA from 1 species